UCCCCGAGCACGCGUGGCCAUGCGUCCCCUGCGCCCCCGCGCCGCGCUGCUGGCGCUCCUGGCCUCGCUCCUGGCCGCGCCCCCGGUGGCCCCGGCCGAGGCCCCGCACCUGGUGCAGGUGGACGCGGCCCGCGCGCUGUGGCCCCUGCGGCGCUUCUGGAGGAGCACAGGCUUCUGGAGGUCCACUGGACGGGGCCUGAGCUACAACUUCACCCACCUGGACGGGUACCUGGACCUUCUCAGGGAGAACCAGCUCCUCCCAGGGUUUGAGCUGAUGGGCAGCGCCUCGGGCCACUUCACUGACUUUGAGGACAAGCAGCAGGUGUUUGAGUGGAAGGACUUGGUCUCCAGCCUGGCCAGGAGAUACAUCGGUGGGCAAGCGCAGGCCCUGGGGCCCUGGCCGGGGCAGGGGUACUCCUGGGCAGGUUGCACCCCUAUCACGCAGGCUGCUGCCUGGUCAGGAGAUAUAUUGGUGGGCAGGCGCAGGCCCUUGUGGGGGGAUGGGGGUGACAAGGGAUAG
rnacentral:sRNA from 1 species